AAUGACAUGGAUCAAGCAUGGAUGUGUAGCAUGAAAAUUACAUGUAAUGUGAUCUGUAACAUGCCUAUUUUCAACUGGUCCACCUUAAUACCUUAGUGAGAUCAUUUUAAACAAGUUCAGAGAUAAUUAACCAAAUAACUAUAUAACUGAAAAUAACUUUAACUUUAAACCGUAUCCAAAAUAACAGUACAUGUGUCCAAUAUGAAAAGCAAAAAUACAAACUCCCACUGAAACU
rnacentral:lncRNA from 1 species